rnacentral:tRNA from 22 species
GGCGGAUGUAGCCAAGUGGAUCAAGGCAGUGGAUUGUGAAUCCACCAUGCG